UUGGUGUUUUUUUAUUUCAUUUAUUUUUAUAGUAAAUUUCUACCUCUGUGUUCUUGAAUGGUUUAUAUGUUCCUCUCAAAAUACAGGGCAGUCUCCUAAUCUCCUUCUUCUAUUCUUUAGUUUUAUUCACCACUAACCACUCUCGUAGAAAAUUUCUGAACCAAAUCAUAGUGCCAGAAACACCAUAAAUUAUAUGGCACUGUUGCGAGGAACUUCUUCCCAUAGUUGCAACUUUGUGGAGUAACAUUUUUUUCCUGUUUUCGUUAUCUUUGAUUUAUUAUUAUUUAAUGUCUGACAAAUCAAAGUGUUGAAUCACAUUCUACUCUCUACAAUUCUCUUCUUUUCAUCUAUCCAAUUGAAAUAUUGUUCAUACGUCAACCCAGAUUUGACCAAAAAAAAAAAAAACAACGCGGCAUGCUUAUUUUGAAACUCAUCGAGUGUUCGACGAAAUGCCCUAUAGAGAUGCAGCUUCAGAAAAUGGCUCCAAAAUGCACUCAACAUAUGCAACUCGGUUAUUAUUUUUAGGCCCUUAAAGUUUAGUAUAUAUUUUCAACACCGUCAUCUACUUUCAACUAAAUAAUUUUGUUCAAUAUACAUAUUUUCACAGCAGUUUAACACCUUGAUCCAAUUGUAUAGCUAUGAUAAAAACGGAAUAAACUGCCUUGAAGAAUUGUGAUCGUUCAAUUGUAAAAUCUACAUUUACAAAGUUUGAAAUUAAUAUCUAUGAAUAUUGAUUAUAGUAUUGCGAUUUCAAGUUUAGCCUAUAUUACAUUUUCAACUUUUUUAGUAAUUUGUCGUGCUCUAUUAUUAUUUCUUGCUCUACUCUUUCACGUUUUGAUUUGCGAAUGACUUAUGCAUUUAACAUGCCACCAACAGUGUAAUAAUCGAAAAAUGACUUUUUCUAGCGACAUUAUAAUCUAUAUUUCAAUUUUCUCGUAUUAUUACUUUUUUCCUAAGUGCUCUUUCUCUUCCUUCAUUAUGAUGUGUUGCUACCUUUUUGGGGGUAUAUUUAUAUAAAAUUGAUAUCUGUGUUUAUAUAUUUAUAUAAAAUUGAUCAUAGACGAGUUGAGGUGACACCUUUCUUUGGCCAACAUUCACAUGCAUCUUUUUCUUUUUAUCCUGAAUUGUUGGUUUUUUAACUUCCGUUUUUUUUUUUUUUUACCAAGCCACAACAUCUCUAUUAGUAAGCAAAUAACUGUUUGCUUUACUAUGUGUUGUUUGCUUUUCCCAAUUGCUAGGUUGUUGCCUGUUUGUUUACUCUACGGAAAAAAAAAAUCAAUAACCGAGAAGAAUUACGACCAUCAACAGUAUCAAACCAGAACAUACAGAUUCUCAGUACCAAUGAAAGCCGAGGAUGACACGAUACAAAAGAGAAGUUGUAUUUUCUUCUCUGUAAGGAGAUGAGGGUGGUGUCCAAGUGGAGACAAGGCAGCAAAGUAUGGAGAAGAGUAUCGAGUAAUUACAGUAAUUUGACAUGUUUGAGGAUUAAAGCAAAUGGAUGGAGUAAACUGCUACAUUGGUAGCAAGGACUAACAGAAUGGAUUAUGUCUUGGCCUUAGGCAUUGAGAUGGGCUGAAGUUCAUGCUAGAGGAAACGGCUCAAGGGCUACAAUUUGUUUAAUUACUAUUGUUGCUUGUAUGUAUCACCUUUGGAUUGAGAGGAAAGAGUUUUUUCAAGCAAAGCAGAUGGAGCCAAGGAGAAUAGUCACAAAAGUCAUUCAGGAGGUCUUCUACAAAGGAUCCAUGAAGAACAAAUUAAGUAGGAGUCGUGAGAAGUAAAACUUCUUCUUCUGAUAGAUCAGUUGUAGUAGAAGUGAUAGGAGUAUCCGGUUGUAGCUUUGGAAAUGUCUAGCUGUGGUUUUUUUAUGCAUGUAACGUUACUGGUAAUUAAAAAAUUUAUUUACCAGAAAAAACAAUGAGAAGUGAAUUAAAUCAAAGAAUAAAUGUUAAGAUCGGUAGAUGAUGAAGUGAUCAAGUAGUAAGACUAUUGUAAUCAUUAGUUACUGGUUCUUAAGAUAUGCGAUGAUAUCAAAAUCUUCUAAUUUAUAUUAGAACCAUCUUGAUAUCUUUAGUUUUUUUUUUUUUUUUUUUAAUGUUAUUUUUAAUACUUCAACUAUUAGAAAAGGGUUAUUUCUAAACUUAAUGGGGUGAUUAUUACCGCGUAUAGCGCUGGAAAAUUACCUAGUACGUAGAUAUACGUAAGCCCUCACGGCUGCAAAAAUGAUAUAUAAGAAUAUACACUGAUGUAUCCAUGAGACAACUACUACCCACACAUACGUAUCUACUGAUGAGUUGGUAUUUUACCAACUUAUCUCUUCUUUAAUCUUAUAUUUUUGCUAUGUUUGAUUGAGAAAAUAGUGCAUUUAAUAUCGUUUACAUCUAUUUUACAGGUUUUAUGUGAUUUAGAAGUGAUCGGAAGAAACCAAGUGAAAAAAAGUCAAAAAGAGGCCAAAUUGGACAGAUUUGCAAAACUGUCAAAACUGGACAGUUUUGCAAAAAGGGGACAGAUUUGCAAAAACGGGCAGAACUGCAAAAACUGAAAUCUGGGGCAUAUUUUGUCAUUUUUUGGACUUGGAAAAAUUAGGCAACUAUAAAAGCAAGACUUGGUGAAAUUAUUUAUCAUCUUUGGCAUUUCAACACAAG